rnacentral:rRNA from 1 species
UGAGCAACCUGCCCUUGACUCCGGAAUAACAGCUGGAAACAGCUGCUAAUACCGGAUACGACCUCCGAUGGCAUCAUCUGGAGGUGGAAAGCUCCGACGGUCAAGGAUGGGCUCGCGGCCUAUCAGCUUGUUGGUGAGGUAACGGCUCACCAAGGCUUCGACGGGUAGCCGGCCUGAGAGGGCGACCGGCCACACUGGGACUGAGAUACCGGCCCAGACCUCCGUAGGGAG